GCCAGCAUCAUAUAGGGAGUCUCCAGUGCCAGCGUCCACAUCCUUCAUUCGCGUCCUUGAAGGGUUUCCCUUCACAUUUUCUGAUGGUGUUUCUGAGUACAUGGUGUCAACAGCACUCAGAACUGUUAGGUUUUCUAUUUAUCCUCAGGCCAGGAAAAGGCACAGAUCACUGCAGUGUAAAAUUACCAGUGCUUUUGACAGUGACCUGGAAGCACUGCGGAAUGAAAAAAUUUAGCCUUGAGAGCUGAGGUUCAGCCCCAGGCCCAUCUUAACCAAGAAGUUCUGCUCAAUUAUACAGGUCACAAGAAGUUCUGCUAGUCUUGAAAAUAUUGAACUCAUCAAACUGAAGUUCGGUGUUGUUGACACAUCUUGAUGAAUGGCCAGUUUUAGACACCAAGUCUCUGCAAAGCAGCACAUGUUCUUCUGAAGCCUUGAAGACUCACUGAAAUGGGAGAAGUGACCACAUUUGCUGAAGAAAGGGGACUGUUUCUUGGGAAUUACUCUUGCCAAGAGUGGGGAAUCAUAAUGGUUAAGAGCUCCGGCUUCAGAGGCGUCUAGUUGAAGCUUCCCUUUGCCACUUCUUAGCUAUAAAUCUUUGAAUGAGUUACCCUC